UUGCCCUGAUGUGGGGGAUAACCAUUGGAAACGAUGGCUAAUACCGCAUAAUAGCUUCGGCUCAAAGAGGGGGACCUUCGGGCCUCUCGCGUCAGGAUAUGCCCAGGUGGGAUUAGCUAGUUGGUGAGGUAAUGGCUCACCAAGGCGACGAUCCCUAGCUGGUCUGAGAGGAUGAUCAGCCACACUGGAACUGAGACACGGUCCAGACUCCUACGGGAGGCAGCAGUGGGGAAUAUUGCACAAUGGGCGCAAGCCUGAUGCAGCCAUGCCGCGUGUAUGAAGAAGGCCUUCGGGUUGUAAAGUACUUUCAGCAGUGAGGAAGGCGGAGUCGUUAAUAGCGGCCUCGUUUGACGUUAGCUGCAGAAGAAGCACCGGCUAACUCCGUGCCAGCAGCCGCGGUAAUACGGAGGGUGCGAGCGUUAAUCGGAAUUACUGGGCGUAAAGCGCAUGCAGGUGGUUUGU
rnacentral:rRNA from 1 species